UAAUUGAAAGCUUGUAUGAAUGGCUUGACGCAGGUAAAGCUGUCUCUUUUAUAUUAAAUAAAAAUUAAUUUUUAAGUGCAGAAGCUUAAAUAUAACCAAAAGACGAAAAGACCCUAUCGNNCUUGAAAAUUAUAAUUAAAUUUAAGUUUGUAGAAAAACAACUUUUAAUUAAUUUUUUUUGUUGGGGCGACAAAAGAACAAAUAAAGCUUCUUUUUAUUUUGUAAAUUUAUAAAUUUAUAGAUCCAUAUUUUAUGAUUAAAAGAAAAAGCUACCGUAGGGAUAACAGCGUUAUUUUUUCAAAGAGUUCUUAUCGAAGAAAAAGNNUGCGACCUCGAUGUUGGAUUAAAGUAACUUUUAAGUGCAGAAGCUUAAAAAGUGGGUCUGUUCGACCUUUAAACCUUU
rnacentral:rRNA from 1 species